rnacentral:rRNA from 1 species
GCCGUCGCUGCCACCGCCUCGACCCGUCACACUCUGCCCCCGAUGGCGAUGGCGACGGCGAUGGGCACGACGGCCGCCACGUACGGGCCACCGAUCACGGCGCCGGCACCCGCCGCAUUCUCUCCUCGCCGCGCGGCCGGCGGGCGGCGUGUGCGGGCGGUGACGGCGAGGCCGCGGCCCCUGUUCUCGCCCCGGGCCGUCUCAGACUCGCGCAACUCCCAGACGUGCCUCGAUCCGGACGCCAGCACGAGUGUUCUUGGGAUUAUCCUCGGUGGUGGCGCCGGGACAAGGCUGUACCCACUGACCAAGAAGAGGGCCAAGCCUGCGGUGCCGCUGGGUGCUAACUACAGGCUCAUUGAUAUCCCGGUCAGCAACUGCCUCAACAGCAAUGUGUCCAAGAUCUAUGUGCUGACGCAGUUCAACUCUGCGUCGCUCAACCGCCACCUCUCGAGGGCCUACGGGAACAACAUUGGUGGAUACAAGAAUGAUGGCUUUGUCGAAGUUCUCGCUGCGCAGCAGAGCCCGGAGAAUCCUAACUGGUUUCAGGGUACCGCAGAUGCCGUGCGGCAGUACUUAUGGCUGUUUGAGGAACAUAAUGUUAUGGAGUUCCUUAUUCUGGCUGGAGAUCACCUGUACCGUAUGGACUACCAAAAAUUCAUUCAAGCACACAGAGAAACAGAUGCUGAUAUUACUGUGGCUGCCCUGCCAAUGGAUGAGGAGCGCGCAACUGCAUUUGGCCUGAUGAAAAUUGACGAUGAAGGGAGAAUUGUUGAGUUUUCAGAAAAACCAAAAGGAGAGAAGUUGAAGGCAAUGAUGGUUGACACCACCAUACUGGGCCUUGAUUCUGAGAGGGCCAAGGAAUUACCUUAUAUUGCUAGCAUGGGAAUCUAUGUUUUUAGCAAAGAUGCGAUGCUUCAGCUUCUUCGUGACAAUUUUCCUUCAGCAAAUGACUUUGGAAGUGAGGUUAUUCCUGGUGCAACAGAAAUUGGAAUGAGGGUGCAAGCUUACCUAUAUGAUGGUUACUGGGAAGAUAUUGGGACUAUUGAGGCAUUUUACAAUGCAAACUUGGGAAUAACCAAGAAGCCAGUACCAGAUUUUAGUUUCUAUGACCGUUCUGCCCCAAUUUAUACACAAUCUCGAUACUUGCCUCCUUCGAAGGUUCUUAACGCUGAUGUGACAGACAGUGUUAUCGGUGAAGGUUGCGUCAUUAAUCAUUGUACAAUCAACCAUUCUGUUGUUGGACUACGCUCGUGCAUAUCGGAAGGCGCAGUAAUAGAGGAUUCCCUGCUAAUGGGUGCAGACUAUUAUGAGACGGAAAAUGACAAGAAAGUCCUUUCUGAAAGUGGCGGCAUUCCCAUCGGUAUUGGAAAAAAUGCACACAUCAGAAAAGCAAUAAUCGACAAAAAUGCUCGAAUCGGAGAAAAUGUGAAGAUAAUCAAUGUUGAUGAUAUCCAAGAAGCUUCAAGGGAGAGUGAUGGAUACUUCAUCAAAAGCGGCAUUGUCACGGUGAUCAAGGACGCCUUAAUUCCUAGCGGGACAGUCAUAUAG